GUAGGUGGCAAGCGUUGUCCGGAAUUAUUGGGCGUAAAGCGCGCGCAGGCGGUUCUUUAAGUCUGAUGUGAAAGCCCACGGGCUCAACCGUGGAGGGUCAUUGGAAACUGGAGAACUUGAGUACAGAAGAGGAAAGCGGAACUCCACGUGUAGCGGUGAAAUGCGUAGAGAUGUGGAGGAACACCAGUGGCGAAGGCGGCUUUCUGGUCUGUAACUGACGCUGAGGCGCGAAAGCGUGGGGAGCAAACAGGAUUAGAUACCCUGGUAGUCCACGCCGUAAACGAUGAGUGCUAAGUGUUAGGGGGUUUCCGCCCCUUAGUGCUGCAGCUAACGCAUUAAGCACUCCGCCUGGGGAGUACGGCCGCAAGGCUG
rnacentral:rRNA from 1 species